UUAUUAUUUUAUACUUUUUAAUACUUUUUUUUCUCUUUUUUUUCUUUCUAAUUACUCUUGACGAUCGUCGAGACUUGGUCCCAACCGCAAAAUGGUGAGUUUUCUCGUGUCGUUCUGGAUCCACUAAUAACGAUCGAUCAUCGACUCGAAAUUCCAGCCGUUUCUCGUCGUCCAUACGACCUGAAGUCAGACAAACUUCGCGUAGAUCUCUUUUUCGAACGCGUGCGUCCGAACGAUGUGCAUUUCAACUCGAAACGGAAUUGUUCAAUUGUUGAAAAUCAAAAUAACGACGAUUCGAGGAACUACGAAUAAUAAACAAUCACGGGGAGAACGAUACGGAGAGUACAAUUGGUAUUUCAGAACAGCCGUGGCUCGAUCGAUCGACGAUCGAUUUUUGUUCAGCGAUCGAUAAUCACGGACGCGAAAACGGCAGGAAAUUGACGCAAAGAACGAUGGUUGUUGUGUGCCUAAUGGCUGCGAAGAUAAUGACGAAGGCGCGACGUCGACGAAAUUUUGAACAGUUUAUAGAGAUUAUCCUUUCUUUCUUCUCUCUGCUUUUUUUGUUUGUUUUUGCUUUUUUCUGUUUGGUUUGCUUCUCUCUUCUUACGUAAAUAAUCUUGUACUUGACAAUUAACCGAAACGAAA